AGAGUUUGAUCCUGGCUCAGGAUGAACGCUGGCGGCGUGCCUUAGGCAUGCAAGUGGAACGAUCCCGCUUCGGCGGGAGAGUCGCGAACGGCUGAGUAACACGUAAGGACUUGCCCCCUGGUGGAGAAUAACUUAUCGAAAGAUAGGCUAAUACUGCAUAAUCCUGCUUUGCAGGUAAAGGGCGUAACUGCUCGCCAAGGGAGAGACUUGCGGCCCAUCAGCUUGUUGGUAGGAUAACAGCCUACCAAGGCUACGACGGGUAGGGGGCGUGAGAGCGUGUCCCCCCAGAGAGGCACUGAGAUACGGGCCUCACACCUAUGGGUGGCAGCAACCGGGAAUUGUGCGCAAUGGACGAAAGUCUGACGCCGCGACGCCGCGUGAAGGAUGAAGGCCUUUGGGUCGUAAACUUCUUUUGCCAGAAGGGAGACCGACUGGAGAAUAAGCACCCGCUAACUACGUGCCAGCAGCUGCGGUAAUACGUAGGGUGCAAGCGUUGUCCGGAUUUAUUGGGCGUAAA
rnacentral:rRNA from 1 species